AUUCUGCCCAAGCGGGGAAGGAUGAGAAGCUUCGACCAAGGUUCGACUUGAGCGCCAGCGAGAGAGCGUUGCCGCAGGCAACGACCCGAA
rnacentral:sRNA from 2 species